rnacentral:rRNA from 1 species
GAUGAACGCUGGCGGCGUGCCUAAUACAUGCAAGUCGAGCGAACGGAUAAGGAGCUUGCUCCUUUGAAGUUAGCGGCGGACGGGUGAGUAACACGUGGGUAACCUACCUAUAAGACUGGAAUAACUUCGGGAAACCGGAGCUAAUGCCGGAUAACAUUUGGAACUGCAUGGUUCUAAAGUAAAAGAUGGUUUUGCUAUCACUUAUAGAUGGACCCGCGCCGUAUUAGCUAGUUGGUAAGGUAACGGCUUACCAAGGCAACGAUACGUAGCCGACCUGAGAGGGUGAGCGGCCACACUGGAACUGAGACACGGUCCAGACUCCUACGGGAGGCAGCAGUAGGGAAUCUUCCGCAAUGGACGAAAGUCUGACGGAGCAACGCCGCGUGAGUGAUGAAGGUUUUCGGAUCGUAAAACUCUGUUAUUAGGGAAGAACAAAUGUGUAAGUAACUGUGCACAUCUUGACGGUACCUAAUCAGAAAGCCACGGCUAACCACGUGCCAGCCGCCGCAGUAA